rnacentral:rRNA from 1 species
AUAAUGGGUCAGCGACUUAUAUUCUGUAGCAAGGUUAACCGAAUAGGGGAGCCGAAGGGAAACCGAGUCUUAACUGGGCGUUAAGUUGCAGGGUAUAGACCCGAAACCCGGUGAUCUAGCCAUGGGCAGGUUGAAGGUUGGGUAACACUAACUGGAGGACCGAACCGACUAAUGUUGAAAAAUUAGCGGAUGACUUGUGGCUGGGGGUGAAAGGCCAAUCAAACCGGGAGAUAGCUGGUUCUCCCCGAAAGCUAUUUAGGUAGCGCCUCGUGAAUUCAUCUCCGGGGGUAGAGCACUGUUUCGGCAAGGGGGUCAUCCCGACUUACCAACCCGAUGCAAACUGCGAAUACCGGAGAAUGUUAUCACGGGAGACACACGGCGGGUGCUAACGUCCGUCGUGAAGAGGGAAACAACCCAGACCGCCAGCUAAGGUCCCAAAGUCAUGGUUAAGUGGGAAACGAUGUGGGAAGGCCCAGACAGCCAGGAUGUUGGCUUAGAAGCAGCCAUCAUUUAAAGAAAGCGUAAUAGCUCACUGGUCGAGUCGGCCUGCGCGGAAGAUGUAACGGGGCUAAACCAUGCACCGAAGCUGCGGCAGCGACACUAUGUGUUGUUGGGUAGGGGAGCGUUCUGUAAGCCUGUGAAGGUGGCCUGUGAGGGUUGCUGGAGGUAUCAGAAGUGCGAAUGCUGACAUAAGUAACGAUAAAGCGGGUGAAAAGCCCGCUCGCCGGAAGACCAAGGGUUCCUGUCCAACGUUAAUCGGGGCAGGGUGAGUCGACCCCUAAGGCGAGGCCGAAAGGCGUAGUCGAUGGGAAACAGGUUAAUAUUCCUGUACUUGGUGUUACUGCGAAGGGGGGACGGAGAAGGCUAUGUUGGCCGGGCGACGGUUGUCCCGGUUUAAGCGUGUAGGCUGGUUUUCCAGGCAAAUCCGGAAAAUCAAGGCUGAGGCGUGAUGACGAGGCACUACGGUGCUGAAGCGACAAAUGCCCUGCUUCCAGGAAAAGCCUCUAAGCAUCAGGUAACAUCAAAUCGUACCCCAAACCGACACAGGUGGUCAGGUAGAGAAUACCAAGGCGCUUGAGAGAACUCGGGUGAAGGAACUAGGCAAAAUGGUGCCGUAACUUCGGGAGAAGGCACGCUGAUAUGUAGGUGAAGCGACUUGCUCGUGGAGCUGAAAUCAGUCGAAGAUACCAGCUGGCUGCAACUGUUUAUUAAAAACACAGCACUGUGCAAACACGAAAGUGGACGUAUACGGUGUGACGCCUGCCCGGUGCCGGAAGGUUAAUUGAUGGGGUUAGCGGUAACGCGAAGCUCUUGAUCGAAGCCCCGGUAAACGGCGGCCGUAACUAUAACGGUCCUAAGGUAGCGAAAUUCCUUGUCGGGUAAGUUCCGACCUGCACGAAUGGCGUAAUGAUGGCCAGGCUGUCUCCACCCGAGACUCAGUGAAAUUGAACUCGCUGUGAAGAUGCAGUGUACCCGCGGCAAGACGGAAAGACCCCGUGAACCUUUACUAUAGCUUGACACUGAACAUUGAGCCUUGAUGUGUAGGAUAGGUGGGAGGCUUUGAAGUGUGGACGCCAGUCUGCAUGGAGCCGACCUUGAAAUACCACCCUUUAAUGUUUGAUGUUCUAACGUGGGCCCCUUACCGGGGUUGCGGACAGUGUCUGGUGGGUAGUUUGACUGGGGCGGUCUCCUCCUAAAGAGUAACGGAGGAGCACGAAGGUUGGCUAAUCCUGGUCGGACAUCAGGAGGUUAGUGCAAUGGCAUAAGCCAGCUUGACUGCGAGCGUGACGGCGCGAGCAGGUGCGAAAGCAGGUCAUAGUGAUCCGGUGGUUCUGAAUGGAAGGGCCAUCGCUCAACGGAUAAAAGGUACUCCGGGGAUAACAGGCUGAUACCGCCCAAGAGUUCAUAUCGACGGCGGUGUUUGGCACCUCGAUGUCGGCUCAUCACAUCCUGGGGCUGAAGUAGGUCCCAAGGGUAUGGCUGUUCGCCAUUUAAAGUGGUACGCGAGCUGGGUUUAGAACGUCGUGAGACAGUUCGGUCCCUAUCUGCCGUGGGCGCUGGAGAACUGAGGGGGGCUGCUCCUAGUACGAGAGGACCGGAGUGGACGCAUCACUGGUGUUCGGGUUGUCAUGCCAAUGGCACUGCCCGGUAGCUAAAUGCGGAAGAGAUAAGUGCUGAAAGCAUCUAAGCACGAAACUUGCCCCGAGAUGAGUUCUCCCUGACUCCUUGAGAGUCCUGAAGGAACGUUGAAGACGACGACGUUGAUAGGCCGGGUGUGUAAGCGCAGCGAUGCGUUGAGCUAACCGGUACUAAUGAACCGUGAGGCUUAACCUUACAACGCCGAAG